UCGAGGAUCAUUUGCAAUGGGGGAAACCCUGACAAUGCGACGCUGCGUGGAGGAUGAAGGCCUUCGGGUUGUAAACUCCUGUCAUAAGGGAAAAGGAGACCUGACCCAAUACGUCAGGAAUUUGAUGGUACCUUAAGAGGAAGCGACGGCUAACUCUGUGCCAGCAGCCGCGGUAAUACAGAGGUCGCAAGCGUUGUUCGGAUUUACUGGGCGUAAAGGGAGCGUAGGCGGCUAGGCGUGUCGGAUGUGAAAUCUCCGGGCUCAACCCGGAAAGUGCGUCCGAAACUGCCUGGCUGGAGUACGGGAUGGGGAAUCGGAAUAUAGGGUGUAGCGGUGAAAUGCGUUGAUAUCAGGAGGAACACUCGUGGCGAAGGCGACGGUCUGGACCGAUAUUGACGCUGAGACGCGAAAGCGUGGGUAGCAAACAGGAUUAGAUACCCUGGUAGU
rnacentral:rRNA from 1 species